GAUGAAGAACGCAGCGAAAUGCGAUAACUAAUGUGAAUUGCAGAAUUCAGUGAAUCAUCGAGUCUUUGAACGCACAUUGCGCCCCCUGGUAUUCCGGGGGGCAUGCCUGUCCGAGCGUCAUUGCUGCCCUCAAGCACGGCUUGUGUGUUGGGCUCCGUCCCCCCGGGGACGGGCCCGAAAGGCAGCGGCGGCACCGAGUCCGGUCCUCGAGCGUAUGGGGCUUUGUCACCCGCUCUGUAGGCCCGGCCGGCGCCAGCCGACAACCCAUCAUCCUUUUCAGGUUGACCUCGGAUCAGGUAGGGAUACCCGCUGAACUUAAGCAUAUCAAUAGCGGAGGA
rnacentral:misc_RNA from 1 species